GGCUGUGUUAUUUGAGUGGCUAUGCAAGUAGUCAUGAUAGCUGCUUGCAUAGCCACUCAAAUAACACAGCC
rnacentral:pre_miRNA from 1 species